rnacentral:tRNA from 1 species
ACUGAUUUAGCAUAUGUUAAUGUAGUGGGUUGUAAACCCUUUGAAAUCUUUGAAGAUGGUCAGAA